rnacentral:rRNA from 1 species
UACGUAGGUGACCAGCGUUGUCCGGAUUUACUGGGCGUAAAGAGCGCGCAGGCGGUCGUUCAAGUCGAGUGUGAAAGCCCCCGGCUCAACUGGGGAGGGUCAUUCGAUACUGAUCGACUUGAAGGCAGGAGAGGGAAGCGGAAUUCCCGGUGUAGUGGUGAAAUGCGUAGAUAUCUGGAGGAAUACCGGUGGCGAAGGCGGCAUCCUGGACCGGCAUUGACGCUGAGGAGCGAAAGCUAGGGGAGCAAACGGG